UUUCCGUAGGUGAACCUGCGGAAGGAUCAUUCAUAAUAAGUGUUUUGUGGCACUUUUUUAAAUCCAUAUCCACCUUGUGUGCAAUGUCAGGGUUGAUUUUUCUCUCGAGAGGAUCAACCCCAAACAUCAACUAUAUCUCAACUCUUUGUCUGAAAAAUAUUAUGAAUAAAACAAUUCAAAAUACAACUUUCAACAACGGAUCUCUUGGCUCUC
rnacentral:misc_RNA from 1 species